rnacentral:ncRNA from 12 species
UACCCUGUAGAACCGAAUGUGU